GUGCUCGCUUCAGCAGCACAUAUGCUAAAAUUGGAACCAUACAGAGAAUAUUAGCAUGACCCCUGCACAAGGAUGACAUGCAAAUUCGUGAAGUGCUCAGUGUUUUC